rnacentral:lncRNA from 1 species
AUGGAGAGACUCGUGAUUGGGAAGGAGGAAAACACACAGACACACACACUCAUCUCCCUCCAUCCUCUUCCUCUCACUCCGCCCCCCGAGGGGCGGUACCCUGGUCCCUGGGGGAGGUUUAGGCCGAGGACCCGGGAGCGCGGCGGGCCGGGGAGAAGGGCUUGGGUUUCGCAGCCCCAGCCGGGAGGCCGGUGGUGCGGCGGCCCCUCCCCUGCGAUCCCUUCCCCUCCUCCCCGUCUCCUCCGCCCCAUCCUCCUCCGGGUCCCCGGCAGCCGAGGCUCUGGGAGCAGCCGGCGGCGCAGCGGCCGCGCAGCCUUUGUCUCGGGGCAGCCGGGCGGAGGGCCCAGCGCAGGCGGCAGAGGCCACACGGGGACGCAGGAGGCAGAGGACAGGCAGUGAUGAAGCAACGGGAGAGGACCGGGCCGGCGUCACCAGCACCAGCACCAUCACCAUCACCAUCACCAUCACCAUCACCACCAUCACCAUCACUGACCUGCGCCCAUCCCGGCUUCCCCCACCUCCUCCCCGGUGUAAAGACAACUUUAUCAGAUUAUUUCCUUUUCACGGGUAAUACUUUGAAAAAGCAUCGGAGCUCCUCAAAUCAGAGAUCAGAGGGGCUUGCAGUCAUCUGUCCGGGGCCGGUUAACUAAGGUAGCAAUCAGGCUUCGAUGCUCUCGGUUUUUCUAAUUCUGGUGCUGGAGAGGUCUGAUUAAAAACUCCCCCUCACUUGGUAAUGAUGAUGAUGAUGAUGUUGAUGAUGAUGAUCAAGUAUAAAGUAAUAUCCUCACUAAAUUAGAUAAUCAGGAGUUU